rnacentral:rRNA from 1 species
GAUGAACGCUGGCGGCGUGCCUAAUACAUGCAAGUCGAGCGAAUGGAUUAAGAGCUUGCUCUUAUGAAGUUAGCGGCGGACGGGUGAGUAACACGUGGGUAACCUGCCCAUAAGACUGGGAUAACCCCGGGAAACCGGGGCUAAUACCGGAUAACAUUUUGAACCGCAUGGUUCGAAAUUGAAAGGCGGCUUCGGCUGUCACUUAUGGAUGGACCCGCGUCGCAUUAGCUAGUUGGUGAGGUAACGGCUCACCAAGGCAACGAUGCGUAGCCGACCCGAGAGGGUGAUCGGCCACACUGGGACUGAGACACGGCCCAGACUCCGACGGGAGGCAGCAGUAGGGAAUCUUCCGCAAUGGACGAAAGUCUGACGGAGCAACGCCGCGUGAGUGAUGAAGGCUUUCGGGUCGUAAAACUCUGUUGUUAGGGAAGAACAAGUGCUAGUUGAAUAAGCUGGCACCUUGACGGUACCUAACCAGAAAGCCACGGCUAACUACGUGCCAGCAGCCGCGGUAA